CACUUAGCUACAUCCUCAGAUUCUUUUAAUUUUUUUUUUUUGAUAGGGUCUUGCUUAGUUACUAAGUUACCUAGGUUGGGCUUAAAUUUGUGAUCAUCCUGCCUCAGCAUCCCAGAGUGCUGCAAUCACAGAUCUCAACAGUGAUUCCUACUCAAUCCUGGCUGUCAGACUUCUCUCCUACUGAGAUGGGUGACCUGUCCUGGAGAUCUUAAGCCAGCGGCUGCUCUAGGAAGAACACGGCCAAUUCCCUCCAGAGUUGCAGAGGGGUCCACAGGAGUGAACGGAGCCAUGCAGGGAGGCUGCUGGGGAGGACGCCAAGGACCUACAGCCAGGCGCUAUGAUGCCUGAAGCAACACAAGAGUAGCUCAAGAAAUACCGCGUUCAGGCUGCAGGCUGAUGUGAAAGAGACCUUUCUCCGGACUUCAACCUUCCCUUUAAUAAUCAAAAGUAAAGCUAAGAUGUAAUUUUUAUAAAAAAUGUAACACUUCAACUGACCACAGAUCCAUCCUUUAUGCAGCCAGUGAGUCAAGCCCUUGUUUGAUGGGGUGGACUUGCAUUCAGAUGUGAACUUUUUAGGCUCAAAAAUGGUGCAGAUUCACUUUUAAAGAUUUAGCCAUUAAAGUAGGAAACUUUA